GGCCGACUAGCUCAGCUGGUUAGAGCGUCGUGCUAAUAUCACUCCCUCUUUAGGUCUGGUUAUUACGCGAAGGUCUUGGGUUCGAUCCCCACGUUGGCCA